UACGUAGGGUGCGAGCGUUGUCCGGAAUUAUUGGGCGUAAAGAGCUCGUAGGCGGUUUGUCACGUCUGCUGUGAAAUCCCUCGGCUCACCCGAGGACCUGCAUCCCAAACUGCCGAGCUUGAGUAUGGGAGAGGAUGAGGGAAUUCCUGGUGUAGCGGUGAAAUGCGUAGAUAUCAGGAGGAACACCGGUGGCGAAGGCGCUCAUCUGGCCCAAUACUGACGCUGAGGCGCGAAAGCUAGGGGAGCAAACGGG
rnacentral:rRNA from 1 species